CAAAGGCAUGGUCCUGACCUUAUUAUCAGCUCUUACCCAACUUACACAUGCAAGUCUCCGCAAUCCCGUGAGUAUGCCCUCAAUCCCCCGCCCGGGGACGAGGAGCGGGCAUCAGGCACAAAUUUUAGCCCAAGACGCCUGGCCAAGCCACACCCCCAAGGGAAUUCAGCAGUGAUAAACAUUAAGCCAUAAGUGAAAACUUGACUCAGUCAGGGUUAAGAGGGCCGGUAAAACUCGUGCCAGCCACCGCGGUUAAACGAGAGGCCCCAGUUGAUAACACCACGGCGUAAAGGGUGGUUAAGGAAAGCAAAACAAUAAAGCCAAAUGGCCCUUUGGCCGUCAUACGCUUCUAGGUGUCCGAAGCCCGAUCAUACGAAAGUAGCUUAACAAAGCCCACC
rnacentral:rRNA from 1 species